GAUGAACGCUAGCUACAGGCUUAACACAUGCAAGUCGAGGGGCAGCAUUUCAGUUUGCUUGCAAACUGGAGAUGGCGACCGGCGCACGGGUGAGUAACACGUAUCCAACCUGCCGAUAACUCGGGGAUAGCCUUUCGAAAGAAAGAUUAAUACCCGAUGGUAUAAUCAGACCGCAUGGUCUUGUUAUUAAAGAAUUUCGGUUAUCGAUGGGGAUGCGUUCCAUUAGGCAGUUGGUGAGGUAACGGCUCACCAAACCUUCGAUGGAUAGGGGUUCUGAGAGGAAGGUCCCCCACAUUGGAACUGAGACACGGUCCAAACUCCUACGGGAGGCAGCAGUGAGGAAUAUUGGUCAAUGGGCGCAGGCCUGAACCAGCCAAGUAGCGUGAAGGAUGACUGCCCUAUGGGUUGUAAACUUCUUUUAUAUGGGAAUAAAGUUUUCCACGUGUGGAAUUUUGUAUGUACCAUAUGAAUAAGGAUCGGCUAACUCCGUGCCAGCAGCCGCGGUAAUACGGAGGAUCCGAGCGUUAUCCGGAUUUAUUGGGUUUAAAGGGAGCGUAGGUGGACAGUUAAGUCAGUUGUGAAAGUUUGCGGCUCAACCGUAAAAUUGCAGUUGAUACUGGCUGUCUUGAGUACAGUAGAGGUGGGCGGAAUUCGUGGUGUAGCGGUGAAAUGCUUAGAUAUCACGAAGAACUCCGAUUGCGAAGGCAGCUCACUGGACUGCAACUGACACUGAUGCUCGAAAGUGUGGGUAUCAAACAGGAUUAGAUACCCUGGUAGUCCACACAGUAAACGAUGAAUACUCGCUGUUUGCGAUAUACAGUAAGCGGCCAAGCGAAAGCAUUAAGUAUUCCACCUGGGGAGUACGCCGGCAACGGUGAAACUCAAAGGAAUUGACGGAGGCCCGCACAAGCGGAGGAACAUGUGGUUUAAUUCGAUGAUACGCGAGGAACCUUACCCGGGCUUAAAUUGCAUUUGAAUAUAUUGGAAACAGUAUAGCCGUAAGGCAAAUGUGAAGGUGCUGCAUGGUUGUCGUCAGCUCGUGCCGUGAGGUGUCGGCUUAAGUGCCAUAACGAGCGCAACCCUUAUCUUUAGUUACUAACAGGUCAUGCUGAGGACUCUAGAGAGACUGCCGUCGUAAGAUGUGAGGAAGGUGGGGAUGACGUCAAAUCAGCACGGCCCUUACGUCCGGGGCUACACACGUGUUACAAUGGGGGGUACAGAAGGCAGCUACCUGGUGACAGGAUGCUAAUCCCAAAAGCCUCUCUCAGUUCGGAUCGAAGUCUGCAACCCGACUUCGUGAAGCUGGAUUCGCUAGUAAUCGCGCAUCAGCCAUGGCGCGGUGAAUACGUUCCCGGGCCU
rnacentral:rRNA from 1 species